AAGCUCCGAAUUGAAGCCCCAGUAAACGGCGGCCGUAACUAUAACGGUCCUAAGGUAGCGAAAUUCCUUGUCGGGUAAGUUCCGACCUGCACGAAUGGCGUAACGAUCUCCACACUGUCUCGGCCAGAGACUCGGUGAAAUUGAAGUCGCGGUGAAAAUGCCGUGUACCCGCAGAAAGACGGAAAGACCCUGUGCACCUUUACUAUAGCUUGACAUUGGGAUUUGAGCCUGCAUGUGUAGCAUAGGUGGGAGGCUGUGAACUCUGUACGCCAGUAUGGAGGGAGCCAUCGUUGAAAUACCACCCUUGUUUGUUCAGGUCCCUAACUCUUCGCCGUGAUCCGGUAAGAGGACAGUGUCUGGUGGGUAGUUUGACUGGGGCGGUCGCCUCCCAAAAUGUAACGGAGGCAUGCAAAGGUUCCCUCAGGCUGAUUGGAAACCAGCCGUCGAGUGCAAACGCAAAAGGGAGCUUGACUGCAAGAGAGACAUCUCGAGCAGGUACGAAAGUAGGUGUUAGUGAUCCGGUGAUCCCGAAUGGAAGGGUCAUCGCUCAUUGGAUAAAAGGUACGCCGGGGAUAACAGGCUGAUCGCAUCCAAGAGUUCACAUCGACGAUGCGGUUUGGCACCUCGAUGUCGGCUCAUCACAUCCUGGGGCUGAAGUAGGUCCCAAGGGUAUGGCUGUUCGCCAUUUAAAGUGGUACGCGAGCUGGGUUUAGAACGUCGUGAGACAGUUCGGUCCCUAUCUGCCGUGGGCGUUGGAAGAUUGAGAGGGGCUGCUCCUAGUACGAGAGGACCGGAGUGGACGCAUCACUGGUGUUCGGGUUGUCAUGCCAAUGGCAUUGCCCGGUAGCUAAAUGCGGAAAAGAUAAGCGCUGAAAGCAUCUAAGCGCGAAACUUGCCUCGAGAUGAGUCUUCCCUGAGACCUUGAGUCUCCUAAAGGAACGUUUAAGACUAAGACGUUGAUAGGCUGGGUGUGUAAGCGUAGCGAUACGUUGAGCUAACCAGUACUAAUGAGCCGUGAGGCUUAACCUU
rnacentral:rRNA from 1 species